AGCGAACGCUGGCGGCAGGCCUAACACAUGCAAGUCGAACGAAGCCUUCGGGCUUAGUGGCGGACGGGUGAGUAACACGUGGGAACGUACCUUUUGGUUCGGAAUAACGCAGAGAAAUUUGCGCUAAUACCGAAUGAGCCCUUCGGGGGAAAGAUUUAUCGCCGGAAGAUCGGCCCGCGUUGGAUUAGGUAGUUGGUGUGGUAAAGGCGCACCAAGCCUACGAUCGAUAGCUGGUCUGAGAGGAUGAUAAGGCACACUGGGACGGAGACACGGCCCAGACUCCUACGGGAGGGAGCAGUGGGGAAUCUUGCGCAAUGGGCUAAAGCCUGACGCAGCCAUGCCGCGUGAAUGAUGAAGGUCUUAGGAUUGUAAAAUUCUUUUACCAGGGACGAUAAUGACGGUACCUGGAGAAAAAGCCCCGGCUAACUUCGUGCCAGCCGCCGCGGUAACAC
rnacentral:rRNA from 1 species